rnacentral:SRP_RNA from 1 species
CCAUACCAGCCGGGGGAGUAGCGGCCCUCUGUACUCACAAUCCGCUGCAGUGAGGGUGGAUUCCCGGUCUGAGAGCAUCGGCGGUGCGGUCUGCGCCGUAUUUGACCGCGUUGAAGGAUGGGUCCUGCGCAAUCAAUGGCUGUGAACCAUGUCAGGUGGGGAACCAAGCAGCAUUAAGCAGUAUGUUUGAUGUGCCGCGGGGAUGCCUGUCCCGAGCGGGAGGUGCGGUUAACGCGUAUUUACGGUCGCUCGAUUUUCGGGUGUAUGG